AAUAGAUACCCCGGUAGUCCACGCCGUAAACGAUGUCGACUUGGAGGUUGUGCCCUUGAGGCGUGGCUUCCGGAGCUAACGCGUUAAGUCGACCGCCUGGGGAGUACGGCCGCAAGGUUAAAACUCAAAAUGAAUUGACGGGGGCCCGCACAAGCGGUGGAGCAUGUGGUUUAAUUCGAUGCAACGCGAAGAACCUUACCUACUCUUGACAUCCAGAGAACUUAGCAGAGAUGCUUUGGUGCCUUCGGGAACUCUGAGACAGGUGCUGCAUGGCUGUCGUCAGCUCGUGUUGUGAAAUGUUGGGUUAAGUCCCGCAACGAGCGCAACCCUUAUCCUUUGUUGCCAGCGGUCCGGCCGGGAACUCAAAGGAGACUGCCAGUGAUAAACUGGAGGAAGGUGGGGAUGACGUCAAGUCAUCAUGGCCCUUACGAGUAGGGCUACACACGUGCUACAAUGGCAUAUACAAAAGAGAAGCGACCUCGCGAGAGCAAGCGGACCUCAUAAAAGUAUGUCGUAGUCCGGA
rnacentral:rRNA from 1 species